rnacentral:rRNA from 1 species
UACAGAGGUCUCAAGCGUUGUUCGGAUUCAUUGGGCGUAAAGGGUGCGUAGGCGGCGCGGUAAGUCGGGGUGUGAAAUCUCGGAGCUUAACUCCGAAACUGCAUUCGAUACUGCCGUGCUUGAGGACUGGAGAGGAGACUGGAAUUUACGGUGUAGCGGUGAAAUGCGUAGAUAUCGUAAGGAAGACCAGUGGCGAAGGCGGGUCUCUGGACAGUUCCUGACGCUGAAGCACGGAAGGCCAGGGGGAGCAAACGGG